rnacentral:tRNA from 1 species
UGGCUAAGUUGGUAGAACAUGGCACUUGUAAUGCUAGGGUUGUGGGUUUGAUUCCCAU